GACGAACGCUGGCGGCGUGCUUAACACAUGCAAGUCGAACGGACAGGCCCUGCUUUUGUGGGUUGCUCGAUUGGCGAACGGGUGAGUAACACGUGAGUAACCUGCCCUUGUCUUUGGGAUAACUUCAGGAAACUGGGGCUAAUACCGGAUAGGAUCUCCUGCUGCAUGGUGUGGGUUGGAAAGUUUCGGCUGUUGUGGAUGGACUCGCGGCUUAUCCGCUUGUUGGUGGGGUAGUGGAUGACCAAGGCUUUGACGGGUAGCCGGCCUGAGAGGGUGACCGGCCACAUGGGGACUGCGAUACGGCCCAGAAGCCAACGGGAGGCAACAGGGGGAAAUAUUGCACAGUGAGCGGAAGCCAGAUGCAGCGACGCCGCGUGCGGAAUGACGGCCUACGAGUGGUAAACCGCUGUCGACUGAGACGAAGCGGUAGUGACGGUAAUGGAUAAGGAAGCACCGGCUAACUACGUG
rnacentral:rRNA from 1 species